UGUCAAGAAAAGUCUCUAUCGAGGUUAAAGGUACCCGUACCGCAAACCGACACAGGUGGGUGAGGAGAGUAUCCUAAGGCCAGCGAGAGAACGGUUGUUAAGGAACUCGGCAAAAUGACCCCGUAACGUAGGGAUAAGGGGUGCCACCAUCAGGUGGCCGCAGAGAAUAGGCCCAAGCGACUGUUUACCAAAAACAUAGGUUUCUGCUAAGUCGCAAGACGAUGUAUAGGAGCGGACGCCUGCCCGGUGCUGGAAGGUUAAGGGGAUCUGUUAGAGCAAUCGAAGCAGUGAACUUAAGCCCCAGUAAACGGCGGCCGUAACUAUAACGGUCCUAAGGUAGCGAAAUUCCUUGUCGGGUAAG
rnacentral:rRNA from 1 species